rnacentral:tRNA from 1 species
GUCGAGGUAGCUCAGCUGGUAGAGCAUUGCCCUGAAAAGGCAAGGGUCGGCGGUUCGAGCCCGCCCCUCGACACCA